AAGUCGAGCGAGCCGAACUAAUUGAUUACCUUCGGGUAUGAAGUUAGGGAAGCGAGCGGCGGAUGGGUGAGUAACACGUGGGUAACCUACCCUAUAGUCUGGGAUACCACUUGGAAACAGGUGCUAAUACCGGAUAAAAGGAGAGAUCACAUGAUUUCUUUUUGAAAGGCGGCGUAAGCUGUCGCUAAAGGAUGGACCCGCGGUGCAUUAGCUAGUUGGUAAGGUAACGGCUUACCAAGGCAACGAUGCAUAGCCGAGUUGAGAGACUGAUCGGCCACAUUGGGACUGAGACACGGCCCAAACUCCUACGGGAGGCAGCAGUAGGGAAUCUUCCACAAUGGACGCAAGUCUGAUGGAGCAACGCCGCGUGAGUGAAGAAGGUUUUCGGAUCGUAAAGCUCUGUUGUUGGUGAAGAAAGAUAGUGAGAGUAACUGCUCAUUAUUUGCCGGUAAUCAACCAGAAAGUCACGGCUAACUACGUGCCAGCAGCCGCGGUAAUACGUAGGUGGCAAGCGUUGUCCGGAUUUAUUGGGCGUAAAGCGAGCGCAGGCGGAAAGAUAAGUCAGAUGUGAAAGCCCUCGGCUUAACCGAGGAAUAGCAUCGGAAACUGUCUUUCUUGAGUGCAGAAGAGGAGAGUGGAACUCCAUGUGUAGCGGUGGA
rnacentral:rRNA from 1 species